UACGUAGGCAGCGAGCGUUGUUCGGAGUUACUGGGCGUAAAGAGUGCGUAGGCGGUUUUCUAAGUUUGGUGUGAAAUCUCCCGGCUUAACUGGGAGGGUGCGCCGAAAACUGGAAGGCUUGAGUGUGGGAGAGGUAAGCGGAAUUCCUGGUGUAGGCGGUGAAAUGCGUAGAUAUCAGGAGGAACACCUGUGGUGUAGACAGCUUACUGGACCAUGACUGACGCUGAGGCACGAAAGCGU
rnacentral:rRNA from 1 species